GUAAAGGCUCACCAAGACCGUGAUGCAUAGCCGACCUGAGAGGGUAAUCGGCCACACUGGGACUGAGACACGGCCCAGACUCCUACGGGAGGCAGCAGUAGGGAAUCUUCCACAAUGGACGAAAGUCUGAUGGAGCAACGCCGCGUGAGUGAAGAAGGUUUUCGGAUCGUAAAACUCUGUUGUUGGAGAAGAAUGUAUCUGAUAGUAACUGAUCAGGUAGUGACGGUAUCCAACCAGAAAGCCACGGCUAACUACGUGCCAGCAGCCGCGGUAAUACGUAGGUGGCAAGCGUUGUCCGGAUUUAUUGGGCGUAAAGCGAGCGCAGGCGGUUUCUUAAGUCUGAUGUGAAAGCCUUCGGCUCAACCGAAGAAGUGCAUCGGAAACUGGGAAACUUGAGUGCAGAAGAGGACAGUGGAACUCCAUGUGUAGCGGUGAAAUGCGUAGAUAUAUGGAAGAACACCAGUGGCGAAGGCGGCUGUCUGGUCUGUAACUGACGCUGAGGCUCGAAAGCAUGGGUAGCAAACAGGAUUAGAUACCCUGGUAGUCCAUGCCGUAAACGAUGAGUGCUAGGUGUUGGAGGGUUUCCGCCCUUCAGUGCCGCAGCUAACGCAUUAAGCACUCCGCCUGGGGAGUACGACCGCAAGGUUGAAACUCAAAGGAAUUGACGGGGGCCCGCACAAGCGGUGGAGCAUGUGGUUUAAUUCGAAGCAACGCGAAGAACCUUACCAGGUCUUGACAUCCUUUGACCACUCUAGAGAUAGAGCUUUCCCUUCGGGGACAAAGUGACAGGUGGUGCAUGGUUGUCGUCAGCUCGUGUCGUGAGAUGUUGGGUUAAGUCCCGCAACGAGCGCAACCCUUAUUACUAGUUGCCAGCAUUUAGUUGGGCACUCUAGUGAGACUGCCGGUGACAAACCGGAGGAAGGUGGGGACGACGUCAAAUCAUCAUGCCCCUUAUGACCUGGGCUACACACGUGCUACAAUGGAUGGUACAACGAGUUGCGAGACCGCGAGGUUUAGCUAAUCUCUUAAAACCAUUCUCAGUUCGGAUUGUAGGCUGCAACUCGCCUACAUGAAGCCGGAAUCGCUAGUAAUCGCGGAUCAGCAUGCCGCGGUGAAUACGUUCCCGGGCCUUGUACACACCGCCCGUCACACCAUGAGAGUUUGUAACACCCAAAGCCGGUGAGGUAACCCUUCGGGGAGCCAGCCGUCUAAG
rnacentral:rRNA from 1 species